CUAAAAUUUCUCCACGACCUUCGCGGCUCUCUCGACGCUCUCGUGAACGAAGACGCGAGCCCUCGCUCAUACACUCUUGUGAACCCAGACGCAAAUCCUCGCGCAGUAGUUCACGCUCUCACCCUCUCUCACGGUGGUUCAUGCUUUCUCUCGCGGUAGUUCAUACCAGGUUCAUCUCUCAUCUCUGAUUUUCGUUUCUAAUUUCAUUAUUUGGUUUUGUUGAUUUCGUUUCGUCUUUUUAUCUCGGGUUUAGUUUUUCUUUUCGUAUUUGAUUUUGUCACUAAUUUCGAGUUGGGCAAAUUGAUUCCUUAAUUAAUGUAUCUCAAUUUCUUUCGUCUUACAUGCACAGUUGUUUAUGGCAAAUUUUCCUCACUAAUUUUGUUUUGUUGAUUGCUUUUGAAUUUGUUUUGAGGAUUGUUUUGAAUUAUGAUUACACUCUGUGCUUGCACGAGAGGGUUUUUCCUGGAUGGAAUUUUGUGAGCUAUGAUGUUUUGUGCUGUCUUGAGGCAGAGUAAGUAAGGAAACUUAUUUGAUACCCACCUUGGACUAGUUACUUGAAAUUUUUUUUGAGGAUUGGCAUGGAAAGGGGAGUAUACUUCAAGAUGCUUUGUUUUCUAUGUUUAUUUGUGUUAAUCUAGGGGAGUUUGCUAUCUUUCUAAAUUUUGAAGGAAUAAGCUAAAUACGUGACUCUGAGAAUUUGUAAAUUAAAGAAGAAAAAUCAACAAAAGGGAAAAGCGAGAAUGUAAAUGAGUCUAGCUUUAAUGCUAACUCAAAAUUCUUGAGGCUUAUGUUUUCUGUUGCAAAUUCUGUUGGGACAACCGGCAUAAUGAGGAAAUGAGAAAAUUAUAUAUGUUAGUUUUGAUACUAGGAAAAGCCUUGCAAGGAAAGUAAGAAUCUUCUUCCCAGUUUGAUCAAAGAAGUUCCAAGCUCUUAGAAACAAGCUUUUUCACAAACAAUGGUUUGGGGAUUUUCAGAGCCUAAUUCAAAGUUGUUAGAUUAGAAAUAAAGAAAACACUCUCGAAACUCCUCUUAUGGUUAUGGAUAUAUGUGUGUGUAUUAAUGAUCUCUAUCACAGGGUAUUAAUAGUAAUGGCUCACCCACUCAGGUAUCAUGGAUGGGUUUUUGGAAUUUUACUCUUUUGAAGGACUGGAGUCUUCUACUGAGUCUAAAAUAUGUUUCUUGUUACCUUUUCAAUAUUGUUAAGGGAACUUAUCCUUGAUUCCUUGUUAGAUCAAUCUUAUGCCAUCAUUUCAAUUUUUA